rnacentral:rRNA from 1 species
UACGUAGGGUGCAAGCGUUAAUCGGAAUUACUGGGCGUAAAGCGUGCGCAGGCGGUUAUGCAAGACAGAUGGGAAAUCCCCGGGCUCAACCUGGGAACUGCAUUUGUGACUGCAUGGCUAGAGUACAGUAGAGGGGGAUGGAAUUCCGCGUGUAGCAGUGAAAUGCGUAGAUAUGCGGAGGAACACCGAUGGCGAAGGCAAUCCCCUGGACCUGUACUGACGCUCAUGCACGAAAGCGUGGGGAGCAAACAGG